rnacentral:rRNA from 1 species
UGAGGAAUAUUGGUCAAUGGGCGCAAGCCUGAACCAGCCAUCCCGCGUGCAGGAAGACGGCCCUAUGGGUUGUAAACUGCUUUUCCAGGGGGAGAAUUUUUCUGUCGUGACAGGAAUUGACGGUACCCUGGGAAUAAGCAUCGGCUAACUCCGUGCCAGCAGCCGCGGUAAUACGGAGGAUGCGAGCGUUAUCCGGAUUUAUUGGGUUUAAAGGGUGCGUAGGCGGAUAGAUAAGUCAGUGGUGAAAACCUGCAGCUUAACUGUAGACUUGCCGUUGAUACUGUCAGUCUUGAGUAUGGUCAAGGUAGGCGGAAUGUGUAAUGUAGCGGUGAAAUGCUUAGAUAUUACACAGAACACCGAUUGCGAAGGCAGCUUACUGGACCAAUACUGACGCUGAGGCACGAAAGCGUGGGGAGCGAACA